UACAGAGGUCUCAAGCGUUGUUCGGAUUCAUUGGGCGUAAAGGGUGCGUAGGUGGCGCCGUAAGUCGGGUGUGAAAUUUCGGAGCUUAACUCCGAAACUGCAUUCGAUACUGCGGUGCGUUGAGGACUGGAGAGGAGACUGGAAUUCAUGGUGUAGCAGUGAAAUGCGUAGAGAUCAUGAGGAAGACCAGUGGCGAAGGCGGGUCUCUGGACAGUUCCUGACGCUGAGGUUCGAAAGCUCGGGGAGCAAACAGG
rnacentral:rRNA from 1 species